CGCGGCCUAUCAGCUUGUUGGUGAGGUAAUGGCUCACCAGGGCGACGACGGGUAGCCGGCCUGAGAGGGUGACCGGCCACACUGGGACUGAGACACGGCCCAGACUCCUACGGGAGGCAGCAGUGGGGAAUAUUGCACAAUGGGCGCAAGCCUGAUGCAGCGACGCCGCGCGAGGGAUGACGGCCUUCGGGUUGUAAACCUCUUUCAGUAGGGAAGAAGCGAAAGUGACGGUACCUGCAGAAGAAGCACCGGCUAACUACGUGCCAGCAGCCGCGGUAAUACGUAGGGUGCGAGCGUUAUCCGGAAUUAUUGGGCGUAAAGAGCUCGUAGGCGGUUUGUCGCGUCUGUCGUGAAAGUCCGGGGCUUAACCCCGGAUCUGCGGUGGGUACGGGCAGACUAGAGUUCAGUAGGGGAGACUGGAAUUCCUGGUGUAGCGGUGGAAUGCGCAGAUAUCAGGAGGAACACCGAUGGCUAAGGCAGGUCUCUGGGCUGUAACUGACGCUGAGGAGCGAAAGCAUGGGGAGCGAACAGGAUUAGAUACCCUGGUAGUCCAUGCCGUAAACGUUGGGCACUAGGUGUGGGGACCAUUCCACGGUUUCCGCGCCGCAGCUAACGCAUUAAGUGCCCCGCCUGGGGAGUACGG
rnacentral:rRNA from 1 species